GACGAACGCUGGCGGCGUGCCUAAUACAUGCAAGUUGAGCGAUGAAGAUUGGUGCUUGCACCAAUUUGAAGAGCAGCGAACGGGUGAGUUACGCGUGGGGAAUCUGCCUUUGAGCGGGGGACAACAUUUGGAAACGAAUGCUAAUACCGCAUAACAACUUUAAACAUAAGUUUUAAGUUUGAAAGAUGCAAUUGCAUCACUCAAAGAUGAUCCCGCGUUGUAUUAGCUAGUUGGUGAGGUAAAGGCUCACCAAGGCGAUGAUACAUAGCCGACCUGAGAGGGUGAUCGGCCACAUUGGGACUGAGACACGGCCCAAACUCCUACGGGAGGCAGCAGUAGGGAAUCUUCGGCAAUGGACGAAAGUCUGACCGAGCAACGCCGCGUGAGUGAAGAAGGUUUUCGGAUCGUAAAACUCUGUUGGUAGAGAAGAACGUUGGUGAGAGUGGAAAGCUCAUCAAGUGACGGUAACUACCCAGAAAGGGACGGCUAACUACGUG
rnacentral:rRNA from 1 species